rnacentral:piRNA from 1 species
UACUGAAUGAUGUCAGGGUUCUUCUGG